GAUCGGGUCCCAUACAAUGUGGAAUUUGUGAAUCCCCCAGGUUCGAAAGAAAGCAAGGGUAGUAAAAACUGUAUGUGCUAUGGGUAGCUCGAUCAUC
rnacentral:SRP_RNA from 1 species